GAUGAACGCUGGCGGCGUGCCUAAUACAUGCAAGUCGAGCGAACGGACGAGAAGCUUGCUUCUCUGAUGUUAGCGGCGGACGGGUGAGUAACACGUGGAUAACCUACCUAUAAGACUGGGAUAACUUCGGGAAACCGGAGCUAAUACCGGAUGAUAUUUUGAACCGCAUGGUUCAAAAGUGAAAGACGGUCUUGCUGUCACUUAUAGAUGGAUCCGCGCUGCAUUAGCUAGUUGGUAAGGUAACGGCUUACCAAGGCAACGAUGCAUAGCCGACCUGAGAGCGUGAUCGGCCACACGGGAACUGAGACACGGUCCAGACUCCUACGGGAGGCAGCAGUAGGGAAUCUUCCGCAAUGGGCGAAAGCCUGACGGAGCAACGCCGCGUGAGUGAUGAAGGUCUUCGGAUCGUAAAACUCUGUUAUUAGGGAAGAACAUAUGUGUAAGUAACUGUGCACAUCUUGACGGUACCUAAUCAGAAAGCCACGGCUAACUACGUG
rnacentral:rRNA from 1 species